UGUUGGCUGUGCUGUGAAGGUGUCAGUGCUGUGAGGAGCUGACCAUGAGAACUCACCAAGAAGGGCAACUUGCUGAAGACCAGCCUCUUUCCUUGGAGGCCCCUGAUCCUGCAGGAUCCCUUUGUGCAGGCACAGACAGGGAGGAAGCUCUUCUCCAGGCAGAGGUUCCCUCCCAGCAGCAGCCUCUCAUACUGCAGCUGCAGCUCCUGCUGAUAGAAGAAAGUCACUUGCAAAGGAAUGGAGCAAAUUUCUUAACAUCAGAAAGAAGGGCAACAGGAGGGCAUCCCAUGCUGCAGAAUCUGCAAACAUGCAAAAAAUGAAAGUUAGUGAUACUUAAAAGGGAAAAAAGAAGGAGUAGGUUCAAAGCAAAUUGCUCAGUAACACACUUUUUUAAUCAACAAACAAUUGUGAGUGGGAAUGGGUAUAGCAAGGUGUUAAGUUUAGAGAUAAGACAGAAAUUUAAAUUGCAAAAGAAUAAAAAUUUUCUG